rnacentral:lncRNA from 8 species
AUGGGUCAGCGUCCUGUGCAGUGGGGAACUGUGCAGCAGUCUCUCUCUGUCCUCAGCUGUUCUGUCAGUCAGCUCGGCCAUCUCAGCACACAGGGUCACCAAGGGUUAAGCAGCAUCUGUCAUCCAGAGGAACGCCAUUCUGUUGGGGGGAGGAGGGGUGCGGUGGGCAGUGAGGUCCCCGUCUGUUUUAAAGGUCCCCACCUCUUCCACCUCUCUCUGCACAACAGGAAGCUCAGGAGAAUCUCAGGGGCUAGGCUCAGCCCAGCUCGAAAGAUGAGGAAACACUGACAUCAUUGCCAUCCAAACCAGGCCAAAAAUAACUCCCCACCCCUUGAAGACCUGUGGCCCCUGCACAAAUCCAGUCCCAGGGGGGUCAAACGAACAAGGCAUGAUGCAGGGACUGAGCCAGUAGUUAAAGGCUCACCAACCAUGCCUCUUCCUCUUAAACACAGCCUCUCACCCUACAUGGACAGUCAAGUGGAGGGCACCGCGCAGCAACUUGCAGCAAGCAUUUAGUCUCCCUUCAGUGUACUAAUAUAUGGACAGUAUAUACACCACCUGUGUAAGGAUAACUUGUUUUUUUAGAUAUAGUACUGAGAAUGGAGGUGAGGGGUCAGCCCAUUACAUUUCUGCCAUGUCCAUGUAUUUUGGAGUCGGCAUUCUAAAUGGUGGCCAUAGCCCCUAACAGACACCUGGUCCAUAGCCCCUAACAGGCAUUAAUAGCCCCUAACAGGCACCUGGUCCAUAGCCCCUAACAGGCACCUGGUCCAUAGCCCCUAACAGGCACCUGGUCCAUAGCCCCUAACAGACACCUGGUCCAUAGCCCCUAACAGGUACCUGGUCCAUAGCCCCUAACAGGCAUCAAUCCCUGGUCCAUUCCUGUGUUUUCUUGGGUGUGGAGCUGCCUUAAAGUGUGGUUGACUCUGCCCAUGUCCUUUUAGAAACUGUAUCAUUUGCCUGUUUUGGUACAGAUAUGACUUUUUUCCAUCCACAUGUGACCAUUCUCCACAAACAAGAAUAAAAAAGUGAAUAUCUCUCCCGGCAGACGGUGUGCUCUUCCUGCUCUCCAGCGCCGACUCUUGUGGCUGCAGCACUACUGACCUCCAGGAGAUGGAUGUGGCGGUCUGGAGUCACAAAUACACUUUAACACUCCCAAGGAGGUGUAUGAAUGAACUAGAUGUGACUCCAGAGGUGUGUGAGCGAACUUCUUCAAGAGAGGAGAGAAAAUAGUCAUUUAGACUAAGAACAGUGACCAUUUCCACAGCUAUCUUUGACAUGUUUUUAUUUUCUCCAUUCAAAACCAGUCCAGGAAUGUCAUUGUAUAUUUACUAGAUCAACCAUUGAGAAUUUUGAUUCUAAUCUGAAACCAUGUCAUCCAUAUGUCCAACAUCAGAGCCUUCACAUAUACCUCAUGGGGGUAAGGAGAAAAAGACAGUAUGAAAGAGGCACAAAUAUAAGUAAAACAUUGACAAACACUGCUAGAUGCCAAUAUCUCAUAGAUAAUCUCUGACCUGAAAAUCCACAG